ACGUAGGGGGCUAGCGUUGUCCGGAUUUAUUGGGCGUAAAGAGCGUGUAGGCGGCCUGGUAGGUCUGCUGUGAAAACUCGAGGCUCAACCUCGAGAUGUCGGCGGAAACCAUCUGGCUAGAGUCCGGAAGAGGAGAGUGGAAUUCCUGGUGUAGCAGUGAAAUGCGUAGAUAUCAGGAGGAAUACCGAUGGCGAAGGCAGGUCUCUGGGCUGACACUGACGCUCAUGCACGAUAGCGUGGGGAGCAAACAGGA
rnacentral:rRNA from 1 species